rnacentral:rRNA from 1 species
AUAAGCGCUGGCGGCGUGCUUAACACAUGCAAGUCGAACGAAGUUUUUCUUUCGGGAGGAACUUAGUGGCGGACGGGUGAGUAACGCGUGGGUAACCUGCCCUGUACAGGGGGACAACAGCUGGAAACGGCUGCUAAUACCGCAUAAGCCCUUAGCACUGCAUGGUGCAUAGGGAAAAGGAGCAAUCCGGUACAGGAUGGACCCGCGUCUGAUUAGCCAGUUGGCAGGGUAACGGCCUACCAAAGCGACGAUCAGUAGCCGAUCUGAGAGGAUGUACGGCCACAUUGGGACUGAGACACGGCCCAGGCUCCUACGGGAGGCAGCAGUGGGGAAUAUUGCACAAUGGAGGAAACUCUGAUGCAGCGACGCCGCGUGAGUGAAGAAGUAUUUCGGUAUGUAAAGCUCUAUCAGCAGGAAAGAAAAUGACGGUACCUGACUAAGAAGCACCGGCUAAAUACGUG